rnacentral:rRNA from 1 species
CUACGUAGGUGACAAGCGUUAUCCGGAUUUACUGGGCGUAAAGGGCGUGUAGGCGGUCUUGCAAGUCAGAAGUGAAAUUCCUGAGCUCAGCUCGGGCGCUGCUUCUGAAACUGCAGGACUUGAGUGCUGGAGGGGAUAGCGGAAUUCCUAGUGGAGCGGUAAAAUGGGCAGAGAUUAGGAAAAACACCGGUGGCGGGGGCGGGUAUCUGGACAGUAAGUGGCGCUGGGGCGCGAAAGCGUGGGGAGAAAACAGGAUUAGUUCCCCUGGUAGUCCACGCCGUAAACGAUGAAUACUAGGUGUAGGGGGUAUCGACUCCCUCUGUGCCGCAGUUAACACAAUAAGUAUUCCGCCUGGGGAGUACGGCCGCAAGGUUGAAACUCAAAUGAAUUGACGGGG